rnacentral:rRNA from 1 species
CCUACGGGUGGCAGCAGUGAGGAAUAUUGGUCAAUGGACGAGAGUCUGAACCAGCCAAGUAGCGUGAAGGAUGACUGCCCUAUGGGUUGUAAACUUCUUUUAUAAAGGAAUAAAACGAGGCACGUGUGCCUGUUUGCAUGUACUUUAUGAAUAAGGAUCGGCUAACUCCGUGCCAGCAGCCGCGGUAAUACGGAGGAACCGAGCGUUAUCCGGAUUUAUUGGGAUUAAAGGGAGCGUAGAUGGGUUGUUAAGUCAGUUGUGAAAGUUUGCGGCUCAACCGUAAAAUUGCAAUUGAGACUGGCAGUCUUGAGUACAGUUGAGGUAGGCGGAAUUCGUGGUGUAGCGGUGAAAUGCUUAGAUAUCACGAAGAACCCCGAUUACGAAGGCAGCUUACUAAACUGUGACUGACAUUGAUGCUCGAAAGUGUGGGUAUCAAACAGGAUUAGAUACCCCAGUAGUC